rnacentral:rRNA from 1 species
AUACGUAGGUGGCGAGCGUUAUCCGGAUUUACUGGGUGUAAAGGGCGCGUAGGCGGGGAAGCAAGUCAGAUGUGAAAUCCAUGGGCUCAACUCAUGAACUGCAUUUGAAACUGUUUCUCUUGAGUGCCGGAGAGGUAGACGGAAUUCCUAGUGUAGCGGUGAAAUGCGUAGAUAUUAGGAGGAACACCAGUGGCGAAGGCGGCUUUCUGGACUGAUACUGACACUGAGGCACGAAAGCGUGGGGAGCAAACAGGAUUAGAUACCCUGGUAGUCCACGCCGUAAACGAUGAGUACUAGGUGUCGGCCCUAAGGGUCGGUGCCGCAGUUAACACAUUAAGUACUCCGCCUGGGAAGUACGCUCGCAAGAGUGAAACUCAAAUGAAUUGGCGGGG